rnacentral:rRNA from 1 species
AACGAACGCUGGCGGCAGGCCUAACACAUGCAAGUCGAACGUGAAGCCACCUUCGGGUGGUGGAAAGUGGCAGACGGGUGAGUAACGCGUGGGAACGUGCCUUUCGGUUCGGAGUAACCCAGGGAAACUUGGGCUAAUACCGGAUACGCCCUUCGGGGGAAAGAUUUAUCGCCGAAAGAUCGGCCCGCGUCGGUGUAGCUAGUUGGUAGGGUAAUGGCCUACCAAGGCGACGAUCCGUAGAUGGUCUGAGAGGAUGACCAGCCACACUGGGACUGGGACCCGGCCCAGGCUCCUACGGGAGGCAGCAGUGGGGAAUAUUGGACAAUGGGCGGAAGCCUGAUCCAGCCAUGCCGCGUGGGUGAAGAAGGCCCUAGGGUUGUAAACCCCUUUCAGCGGGGAAGAUAAUGACGGUACCCGCAGAAGAAGCCCCGGCUAACUCCGUGCCAGCCGCCGCCGUAA